GACGAACGCUGGCGGCGUGCUUAACACAUGCAAGUCGAACGGGUCUGCCCUGUUUUUUGCGGGGUGGGUCAGUGGCGACCGGGUGAGUAACACGUGAGUAACCUGCCCCUCACUUCUGGAUAACCGCUUGAAAGGGUGGCUAAUACGGGGUGUUCUGGCUGUGCCGCAUGGUGUGGCUGGGAAAGAUUCACUUUUGUGGUGUUUUGGUGGGGGAUGGGCUCGCGGCCUAUCAGCUUGUUGGUGGGGUGAUGGCCUGCCAAGGCUUUGACGGGUAGCCGGCCUGAGAGGGUGGGCGGUCACACUGGGACUGAGAUACGGCCCAGACUCCUGCGGGAGGCAGCAGUGGGGGGUAGUGCACAAUGGGCGGAAGCCUGAUGCAGCGACGUCGCGUGAGGGAUGGAGGCCUUCGGGUUGUGAACCUCUUUCGCCGGUGAAGAAGGUCCUGCUCUUUGUGGUGGGGUUGACGGUAGCCGGGUUAUGAAGCGCCGGCUAACUACGUG
rnacentral:rRNA from 1 species